GGGAAUGAGGCUUAAUGAUAGAGUGCUUGCCUAGCAUGCAUGAAGCCCCGGGUUCAAUUCCCCAGUACCA
rnacentral:tRNA from 1 species